rnacentral:rRNA from 1 species
GACGAACGCUGGCGGCGUGCUUAACACAUGCAAGUCGAACGGAAAGGCCCUGCUUUUGUGGGGUGCUCGAGUGGCGAACGGGUGAGUAACACGUGAGUAACCUGCCCUUGACUUUGGGAUAACUUCAGGAAACUGGGGCUAAUACCGGAUAGGAGCUCCUGCUGCAUGGUGGGGGUUGGAAAGUUUCGGCGGUUGGGGAUGGACUCGCGGCUUAUCAGCUUGUUGGUGGGGUAGUGGCUUACCAAGGCUUUGACGGGUAGCCGGCCUGAGAGGGUGACCGGCCACAUUGGGACUGAGAUACGGCCCAGACUCCUACGGGAGGCAGCAGUGGGGAAUAUUGCACAAUGGGCGGAAGCCUGAUGCAGCAACGCCGCGUGCGGGAUGACAGCCUUCGGGUUGUAAACCGCUUUCGCCUGUGAUGAAGCGUGAGUGACGGUAAUGGGUAAAGAAGCACCGGCUAACUACGUG